rnacentral:tRNA from 1 species
GGAAGUAUGCCCGAAAGCUAGGGACCUCCUUGAUAGGGAGAAUUAUAUAGGCUCAAACCCCAUUACUUCCU